rnacentral:rRNA from 1 species
GAGUUUGAUCGUGGCUCAGAACGAACGCUGGCGGCAGGCUUAACACAUGCAAGUCGAACGAGUGUAGCAAUACACUAGUGGCGCACGGGUGAGUAACGCGUGGGAAUAUGCCCUUUAGUACGGAAUAACCAAGGGAAACUUUGGCUAAUACCGUAUACGCCCUUCGGGGAAGAUUAUCGCUAAAGGAUUAGCCCGCGUCUGAUUAGGUAGUUGGUGAGGUAACGGCUCACCAAGCCGACGAUCAGUAGCUGGUCUGAGAGGAUGAUCAGCCACAUUGGGACUGAGACACGGCCCAAACUCCUACGGGAGGCAGCAGUGGGGAAUAUUGGACAAUGGGGGCGAACCCUGAUCCAGCCAUGCCGCGUGAGUGAAGAAGGCCUUCGGUU